GGAUCAAAGACAGAGGAAGUUUGGGACUGCCCAUAUUACAAAGCCUAAGUGCCUUCAUUGUACUGUACUUCAUCAGCAGCACCAGAGACCUCAGAGUAUAAACGAGUCAGAUGUGUUCUCCAAGGAGCUUGCUGCAAUCUAAUUUCAGACAUGACACAAGAUAGGGAGUUACAAAACUGAAGGGAAGAGUUGCAAGAGGAAGGACAGAGUGAAAGCACUAAGAUUACGUGGUUACUCAACAAAGGUUAAACAACAGUUGACACCUUGUGAAAAAGAUUGAAAAACAACCUACUGAGAAAUGCUGCAGUCUACAUAUCUGGUAUUUAUCUUCCUCUGUGUUUCUCUUUACUAGUAUGAGUGAUAUUAACCUGGAAAUGGAUCUUGUUUCUUUAGAGUUUAACUGUGGAUACCUCACCUGAAUCUGCAACAAACAAAACCCCCACUCCAGUGUAUUCUGCAACAAAGAUCCAAAAUGCUACAGCUUCAAAUAGUAUUACUGCAGGGUCUGGGACAAUUACUGUAGAAUACAGCACUAUGUUCUAAAACGGGGAUCCAUAGUUGCCCAUAUAUUCUGUUGAAACCAGUGGGAGUUCUGCCUGCAUGAGGCUUGCAGGAUGGGGCUCUCUAUGAUCCUUAUGGAAAUCAUACAUUGAAACCAAAAAGUUCUUUUGGAGCUAAACCUUAAUCCCUUUGCUCUUGUAAGCAGUAGUCACCAAAGACACUUCAAUGAGAUUACUGGCAUGAGUAAGGAUAGCAGAAUUUGGACCCUGAUGAUUAUUAGUCAUUAGCAAAGCAAAUGGGACACUGAUUUCCAGGCUCUCACUGAGCUCUUGUACUGCUAUGUCCUUAAUUUACAAGAAGGCAGCAGCUUCCACUAUGCUCGGAAAUACCAAAUGUGAUUUCAAGUUAUAAAUAAAACUG